rnacentral:rRNA from 1 species
GACGAACCGUGCGAACGUUAUUCGGAAUCACUGGGCUUAAAGCGCGUGUAGGCGGGGCGGUGCGUCGGUCGCUGAAAUCCCCCGGCUCAACCGGGGAAGGGCGCCGAUACGACCGCCCUGGAGCGACGUAGGGGGAACUGGAACUUCCGGUGGAGCGGUGAAAUGCGUUGAGAUCGGAAGGAACGCCCGUGGCGAAAGCGAGUUCCUGGACGUCGGCUGACGCUGAGACGCGAAAAGCCAGGGGAGCGAACGGGG